rnacentral:rRNA from 1 species
GACGUAGGGGCGAGCGUUGUCCGGAAUUACUGGGCGUAAAGAGCACGUAGGCGGGAACCUAAGUCAGGUGUGAAAGACCGUGGCUCAACCACGGGGUGGCAUUUGAAACUGGGUUUCUUGAGGGCAGGAGAGGAAAGCAGAAUUCCUGGUGUAGCGGUGAAAUGCGUAGAAAUCAGGAGGAAUACCAGUGGCGAAGGCGGCUUUCUGGACUGACCCUGACGCUGAGGUGCGAAAGCGUGGGUAGCAAACAGGAUUAGAUACCCUGGUAGUCCCUGAG